rnacentral:lncRNA from 1 species
GAGCUUAGACUUAUCACUCAUGUCCUUCCUCUUUUUUGUCUAUCCUUGUGUUUGAAUCAAUUUGAUUUGAUCCUUACGCUUAGUCGUAUGGAAGAGAAUAAAAAACUUGUGAAAUCCUACCUAUGUUCUCAUUUUAUUCAUUUCUUUUAUGCCUCUUUGUCUAGUAUGAUAGUUUGAUUUUCUUUGGGGAGCAUAAACACAAGUCUUGAGUGAAAGCAUGUGGAAGCGACAAUUAUAGGCUCCAAUCUAAU